rnacentral:rRNA from 1 species
CGAAGCCUGACGGAGCAACACCGCGUGAGGGAAGAAGGCUUUUGGGUUGUAAACCUCUUUUGUCAGGGAAGAAGAAUUGACGGUACCUGAAGAAAAAGCAUCGGCUAACUCCGUGCCAGCAGCCGCGGUAAUACGGAGGAUGCAAGCGUUAUCCGGAAUCAUUGGGCGUAAAGGGUCCGCAGGUGGCGAAUAAAGUCUGCUGUUAAAGACCGGGGCUAAACUCCGGAAAGGCAGUGGAAACUGAUUAGCUAGAGUACGGUAGGGGUAGAGGGAAUUCCCAGUGUAGCGGUGAAAUGCGUAGAUAUUGGGAAGAACACCGGUGGCGAAAGCGCUCUACUAGGCCGAAACUGACACUGUGGGACGAAAGCUAGGGUAGCGAAAGGGAUUAGAUACCCCUGUAGUCUUAGCUGUAAACGAUGGAUACUAGGCGUAGCUUGUAUCGACCCGAGCUGUGCCGAAGCUAACGCGAUAAGUAUCCCGCCUGGGGAGUACGCACGCAAGUGUGAAACUCAAAGGAAUUGACGGGGGCCCGCACAAGCGGUGGAGUAUGUGGUUUAAUUCGAUGCAACGCGAAGAACCUUACCAGGGCUUGACAUGUCGCGAAUCUGGCGGAAACGUUAGAGUGCCUUAGGGAACGCGAACACAGGUGGUGCAUGGCUGUCGUCAGCUCGUGUCGUGAGAUGUUGGGUUAAGUCCCGCAACGAGCGCAACCCUCGUCCUUAGUUGCCAAUAUUAAGUUAGGCACUCUAGGGAGACUGCCGGGGACAACUCGGAGGAAGGUGGGGAUGACGUCAAGUCAGCAUGCCCCUUACGUCCUGGGCGACACACGUACUACAAUGGUUGGGACAAAGGGCAGCAAGCUCGCGAGAGUAAGCGAAUCUCAUCAAACCCAGCCACAGUUCAGAUUGCAGGCUGCAACUCGCCUGCAUGAGGUAGGAAUCGCUAGUAAUCGCAGGUCAGCAUACUGCGGUGAAUUCGUUCCCGGGCCUUGUACACACCGCCCGUCACACCAUGGAAGCUGGCUACGCCCGAAGUCGUUACCCUAACCCGGUUUUGGGAGGGGGAUGCCGAAGGUAGAGCUAGUGACUGGGGUGAAGUCGUAACAAGGUAGCCGUACCGGAAGGUGUGGCUGGAUCACCUCCUUU